ACUAAAAGCUAAAUAUAAAGCCCUCUGAAGCAUGCCACGUCGGAUGAAAAAAUCGUCCAGUAGUAAUGCAGCAAAUAGCCACGUCAUCGGCGUGUUAAGUUGGUUUGGGCUUCGUGUUUUAUUAGGGCUUCUUCUCUUACUUUUAGCCAACCCUUCUCUGACGCUAAAGCCUCCUCCUCCGAUGAAUCUCCUGUAACGCCUUCUUACUCCAUUGAUUUGCCCCUUAAAUCCGUUCAUUUACUAGCUUCAUCCCACUCCUCCCACUCUAUAGCAUGUAACCGACCUCACCAUCUUCAUAUGUAACCGGCCGCCAUUACCAGGAAAGCUAUCAAAGAGAUGAAAAUCUUCAGAAAAGUACACCUAGCUUCUCGGCCCAAUGACGAGCUCCAACAACAAGAAGAACACACAAGCGAAUGAUUUUGAAGAUAUCAGUGAGAUUAUUAAAGCACUAAACAUCUCGACGGAUGACUUUGCUAUUAGAACGACCAGAUUCUGGAAAAUCAACUUUGCUCCUGGUUCUAGCAGAUAAAAGUUUAAAGGUUAGUUAACCCAUGAAGUUAUUUAAUAUGCUCUAAUAUUCACAUGAAUCGUAUGUUUGAUAUCUUUUUUUAAUUUAAUGGUCACAUGUGUAUUAAAAGGUUUUAUUUUUCAGAUAAAAUUAGCCUUUUGAUUUUUACAUAAAACGUUUGUGAGAAGUGAGAAUCUUCUAUAUAAAGUUUAGUUGCAGAUUAUAGGAUCUUAGUUACUCCGAAAAGCCACACAGAGGAUCUUAGCAAACCUUAGUUCUCUGCAGUACUGAACACUUUUUCCGACUCCCUGAUGCCCCCCCCCCUCUUGCCAUACGCUUCAAUAAUGCCACUUCUUUUGAAAAGUUGACGGAAUCCACAAAGCCGAAACCAACUGAACUUUUCCGGGUUUCGUCCGUCGGACCAACUACGUGCUUAGGCGAACACCAACAGACAGCUACCUGACAUACUUGGUGAGGUAAGUGCAGUCAGGAGCACAAUCAACGACCGUUCACAGGGGUCUCAACAUGUAAUGCGCUUACUCUACGUCUAGAGAGGGAUGUAACCCUCUGUGUCAGUAUAUUUGACUCCUUAGCUAUUUCCUUUCAUAAAUAAUUUUAAAGCUACAGAAGUGAGCCAAAAAUUGUCCUUGCCACCAGCAUUAAUCCAAAGAUAGUUGGAGGUUGUAAAUUUUACUAUGUGUAGUUUAUUCAUUUUAAUAUAGCUUUGGAGUAAUGCAUUGCAUAUAAUUUGUUUUUGACCGGAUAUAACUUCACAUAAAUUUGAUGUAUUCUUUGUAGGCCGGCUAUUUCUGAGCUUAACAUCUGGAACACAUAUUUACUUUGACACUGAGACAGCUCUAGGAAAAGAGAAGUUUGACAAACUGAGCUGAUGGCACAGAGCAGACGGCAGCGUCGUCAAAGGUAGCUCAUGUCCAGAAAAUUGAGCCACUCACCAUCUCUGAGCUUAAUGAAUAUGUGAUCGCUGCCCAGCCUCAGGCAUAUUCACUUAUGUAAAUUGAAAACCUCUGGAAAUUACACUACUCAUUAUACAUGUUCUUUGACGUUCCACAGAUAGUUGAGUUUCUCUGCGUUCCAGCUCAAGCUAACCGAGUCUAAAGGACCUUAAAGCGUUCGCAGAAGCAAUAGAUGUGGUUAGAGACAAAGGUGUUGCUAUGGCUGUGGCUGUGGCGUCCGCCGAAGACAUUGAUGCGGCGAACGUGCACGUCCAAACUUUUUCAGAGGUGAAGAAAGCUCUCUAAGCUGAUAAGUUUUACUGUAAUAAGAUUGAGAAUCUCUAUUAGAUUUGUUUCUCUGCUGCGAGGGAGUGUAUUGGCAAAGCUAAUAUAUUAAACGUGCGUAAAAAACUUUGUAGAAUAUGAGAGCGUAAAAAACUUGGUAGAAUUGCACUCAGAAAUUUCACCGUUGGAAUUUUGCUAGAAAGCUUACCAAAAAACUAUUUGAUGUAAUAACUCUGUAAUACUAAAUAAAUUUUCAAAAUAAUUCUGGGCGAAACUUUUCUAAAUCUACAUUUAAAUCUAAAUAACUUAACCUAAUAAUUUUACCAAAAGUUAACAACUUGCAUCAAUAUCAAUACAUAUUUUAAUUUUAAAACAAACAUACUUAAAUAGUUACAUAUUCAGAUAUCUUUAAUUAGUAUAUAUAUCUUUAACUUACGGCAUAUUUAUUAAUUUAGAUUUUUUUUUGUAAUUUAAAAUCUUUUUCCUUUAAUGUGUCCUAUAUAUAUUAAUUUUUAAUAUCAAUUUUCAAGUGAAUAAUUAUUCUUAAACAGUACCUUUCUUAGGGUUUGCGGGCUUAAAGAAAUGCUUGAAAAUAUAGUAUUAAAUAUUUUUUUUACCAGCCAAAAAUUUAUUAUUAAUUAGUAUCAGUUAAAAUAUUAUAUAGAUUUUAUCCAAAAAUGACACAAACGUUAAUUUUUAUUCAAUUUUGAUUAAUUUUAAAAAAAGAGUUUCAUUCAAAAAUGACACAAACGUUAUACACACAGAUCAUCAAAAACAAAAUAAAUAAUCAAUAAGUGUAUGCCAAUUAAACGUUAAACAAUUUCCGCGCGUAGCGCGGACAUCGAAUCUAGUACAUUUAAAAACAAUAAUGCAAUCUGGUCAGUUUUUCAAGAGAAGAGUUUACUUCCCCUUCUACAGCUUUUUGUUUAUGACCUGAUAGUAGUGUCCAUUAAUAUUUAUAAGAUUUGGCAAGUUUCUAAAACGGGAGAAAAUCAAAAUCAUUCACUUAACGCUUCUAAAUAUAACAUACACACGACAAAGUCAACCGAGUCUGUUCCACUGACCACUAGUAAGAAAAUAAGACCCUCC